rfam:Aedes aegypti strain Liverpool supercont1.790 genomic scaffold, whole genome shotgun sequence.
UAAUCGGUCCUUUUCAGGGCCAACAAAUGUAUACCAAAGAGUUAAUU